GGAGGGUGCAAACGUUGCUCGGAAUUAUUGGGCGUAAAGCGCAUGUAGGCGGGUUCGUCAAGUCGGAUGUGAAAGCCCCCGGGGCUCAACCUGGGAAGUGCAUUCGAAACUGGCGGACUUGAGUACGGGAGAGGGUCGCGGAAUUCCCGGUGUAGAGGUGAAAUUCGUAGAUAUCGGGAGGAACACCAGAGGCGAAGGCGGCGACCUGGACCGAUACUGACGCUGAGAUGCGAAAGCGUGGGGAGCAAACAGGAUUAGAUACCCUGGUAGUCCACGCCGUAAACGAUGAGUGCUAGAUGUCGCGGGUAUUGACCCCUGCGGUGUCACAGCUAACGCGCUAAGCACUCCGCCUGGGGAGUACGGCCGCAAGGCUA
rnacentral:rRNA from 1 species